GUGCUCACUUAGGCAGCACAUACACUAAAAUUGAAACCAUAUAGAGAAGAUUAACAUGGCCCCUGUGCAAGGAUGACAUACAUAUGUAAAAUAAUAAUAACUGACUG
rnacentral:snRNA from 1 species